rnacentral:misc_RNA from 1 species
UCUCCGUUGGUGAACCAGCGGAGGGAUCAUUACUGAGUUAACAACUUCCGAAGACCGUCGCUGACCCCACAGGUCGCGCACGCCCGAGUGCCCUCCCACAGCUCCAUCUCACCCCUAUGUACACCACCGCGUGGCUCACCUUUUGUCUUUAACGGAGGGGGGCUUCCGUUUACACACCAACUUUGUAUACAAUGUAUCAUGUAUUUUUUGCUUUUGUGAUGACGCAAUCAAUACAACUUUCAACAACGGAUCUCUUCGCUCUCGCAUCGAUGACGAACC